AGCGCGUACACGAGCGAGAGUGUAGUUUAGUCGCAGCCAGACAGACCAGUACGCCAGCCGAGUCCGCUGGCUACUCUCCGUCGUAUACGGGCUGUAUACGAUAUUUCGAAAGAACGUUUAGUAAUCGCGCGUAGAAGCAGCCGGUACAGAGUGCCGGACAGAUAUAGAAAUAAUAAUAAUCGUCGGGGGAUACUAAAGGCAGUAGUACGUGGUGAACGAGACGAGCGCACGAGGGAGAGGACAUGCUUUCCGCCCGAUAGAAGAAGGUCCCCGGCCACUGUUCCACCGGUUGAUAUCGAGUCCAGCUGACGCCCGUCCAGGUUGAACGUCGACUGUCGGCUGACCUUAACUCGAUCGACUCCUCCCGUGAAAGCCUCGAGAACGAGGAUCAAGCAACGUCAGUCGGAAUUAUCGUGACCUUUAUCGCGAGCACGCGAAGACAAAA